rnacentral:rRNA from 1 species
CUGGCCCCCCGCGGGCCCGAGUUGUACUUUGGAGAGGACGCUUCUGGCGCGGCGCCGUCCGAGUUCCCUGGAACGGGACGCCGGAGAGGGUGAGAGCCCCGUACGGGCGGCCGCCUAGCCUCUGCGAAGCUCCUUCGACGAGUCGAGUAGUUUGGGAAUGCUGCUCAAAAUGGGAGGUAAAUUUCUUCUAAAGCUAAAUACCGGCCAGAGACCGAUAGCGCACAAGUAGAGUGAUCGAAAGAUGAAAAGCACUUUGAAAAGAGGGUCAAACAGUACGUGAAAUUGUUGAAAGGGAAGCGCCUGUGGCCAGACUUGCGCCCCGCGGACCACCCGGCGCCUCGCGCGCCGGGGCACGCCAGCGGGGCGCAGGCCAGCAUCGGCUCUCUCGGGGGGACAAAGGCCGCGGGAACGUAGCGCCCUCGCGGCGUAUUAUAGCCCGCGGCGCCAUGCCCCCGGGGGGGCCGAGGACCGCGCUCCGGCAAGGAUGCUGGCGUAAUGGCCACCGGCGACCCGUCUUGAAACACGGACCAAGGAGUCAAGCAUUGGGGCGAGUGUCUGGGUGGCAAGCCCGCACGCGGAAUGAAAGUGAACGCAGGUGGGAGCUUCGGCGCACCACCGACCGAUCCUGAUGUCCUCGGAUGGAUUUGAGUAGGAGCCCCGCCGCUUGGACCCGAAAGAUGGUGAACUAUGCCUGUAUAGGGUGAAGCCAGAGGAAACUCUGGUGGAGGCCCGCAGCGGUUCUGACGUGCAAAUCGAUCGUCAAAUAUGGGC